AUGUCCAUCAGCCUGCCAGCAACACCAACCGGCUUUGCCGCACCUGUUGCCGGUGCCAGCGACUCGUCGGGCAUAGAUCUCCGGAGGCAAGCCAUGGCGUCGAACAUGACACAAAGGCUACAGCAGCGCUCGCCAACGUCGCAGAGCAACAACGGCCGGCGGCUCACAGACGAGACAACAGCGUUCCAGUCACCCCCGCCUACCCCCGGUGGCGGCCGGUCGUCGAUGAGCCGGGACAAACGCUAUGAUUCAUUCAAGACGUGGUCGGGGAGACUCGAGAGGCAGAUCAGCCACCUGGCGGGCAUCGGGCCGGACAUCCCUUCACCUGCAGGGCAAGUCGUGGAUGCCGCCAUGGAUAGUCACCACCAUUCUCACACUGUGUCCACGCCCGAGGUUGGCCGCUUCUUUGCCGCACUGGAAGGCCCCGAACUAGACCAACUCAGGGUAAGCUAUAGAAAAAUAAAUGAAACAACCAAAAAAUAAUUCAUAUAUAUAUUAGCGGUUUAAAAGCCAAUGCUGAAAAAUAAGCUACAACUCGUAUAGUCGGAGGAGGAGCUGGUGCUGCCGGUGGAUAGGACAUGGCCAUUCCUGCUGCGGUUCCCGGUGUCGGCGUUCGGGAUCUGCCUUGGGAUGGGCAGCCAGGCGAUCCUGUGGAAGAGGAUCGCGGAGUCGCCGCCGACGACGAGGUACCUGCACGUCGCCGCCGACGUGAACCUCGUGCUGUGGUGGCUCUCCGUCGCGCUCACCUGCGCCGUCUCCGCCGUCUACGCCUGCAAGGUGGUCUUCUUCUUCGAGGCCGUCCGCCGCGAGUACCUCCACCCGGUCAGGGUGAACUUCUUCUUCGCGCCGCUGAUCGCCUGCCUCUUCCUCGCCAUCGGCGUGCCGCGGUCCGUCGCGCCGUCGACGGCGGCGCUCCCGGCGUGGCUCUGGUACGCGCUCAUGGCGCCGAUGCUGUGCCUGGAGCUCAAGAUCUAUGGGCAGUGGAUGUCGAGCGGGCAGAGGCGGCUGUCCAUGGUGGCGAACCCGUCGAACCACCUGUCCGUCGUGGGCAACUUCGUCGGCGCGCUGCUGGGCGCGUCCAUGGGGAUCAGGGAGGGCGCCGUGUUCUUCUUCGCCGUCGGCGUGGCGCACUACGUCGUGCUGUUCGUGACGCUGUACCAGCGGCUGCCGACGAACGAGGCGCUGCCGCGGGAGCUGCACCCGGUGUUCUUCCUCUUCGUGGCGACGCCGAGCGUGGCGUCCGUGGCGUGGGCGGCCAUCGCCGGCGAGUUCGCGCUCGGCGCGAGGCUCGCCUACUUCGUCGCCAUGUUCCUGUACGCGUCGCUCGCCGCGCGCGCCGUCAGCCUCUUCGGCGGGGUCAGGUUCUCGCUGGCGUGGUGGGCGUACACGUUCCCGAUGACCAGCGCCGCCGCCGCCACCAUCCGCUACGCGGCGGAGGUGGAGGACACCCGCCUCGCCAGGGCGCUCUGCGUCGCGCUCGCCGCCGCCGCCACGCUCACCGUCGGCUGCCUCUUCGCCACCACCGUCGUGCACGCCGUCGUGCUCCGCAGCCUCUUCCCCAACGACGUCGCCAUUGCCAUCACCGACCACCGCAAGGUGAAGCCCAAGCCCAAGCCCAAGACCACCAUGGAGGUGCACUACAAGAUGGAUGGCAAUGGCGACAUCGAGGGCGGUGCUCCUGCCAUGACGCCAUCGCCAUGCAUGCCGAUGGCGACGGCAGCUUAGAGGAUUUCUUUUCUUUUCUUUUUGACCUGCCAAGCCAACGCGUCCACAUGCACAUGCAUGGUUUUAGCGGUUUGAAUUUGAUAAGAUGAAUAUUUGAAAUACAAAGUGCCUAUGAAAAUUUAUA
rnacentral:lncRNA from 2 species